rnacentral:rRNA from 1 species
UACAGAGGUGGCAAGCGUUGUUCGGAAUUACUGGGCGUAAAGGGCGCGUAGGCGGUCUUGUAAGUCUUGUGUGAAAUCCCUCGGCUUAACUGAGGAACUGCACGGGAUACUGCGAGACUUGAGAUCGGGAGAGGGAAGCGGAAUUCCGGGUGUAGCGGUGAAAUUCGUAGAUAUUCGCAAGAACACCAGUGGCGAAGGCGGCUCACUGGCCCGAUACUGACGCUGGAGGCACGAAAGCGUGGGGAGCAAACAGG